ACCUGGUUGAUCCUGACAAUAUUCAUAUACCUGUCUUAAUGAUUAAGCCAUGCAUGUGUAAGUAUGAACAAAUUCAGACUAUGAAACUGCGAAUGUCUCAUUAAAUAACAUAUAUUUUGUUUAAUGGUAUCUACUACUCGGAUAACCGUAGUAAUUCUAGAGCUAAUACGUGUAACAAACCCCGACAUCUAGAAGGAAUUCAUUUAUUAGAAAAAAGGUCAAAGCGGGCUCUGUCCAUUGCUGUGAUGAUCCCUGAUAACUCGACGGAUCGCAAGACCAUCAUGCCGGCGAUACAUCAUUCAAAUUUCUUCCCUAUCAACUUUCGAUGGUAGGUGGUAACUCCAGCUCCAAUAGCAUAUAUUUAAGUUAUUGUAGUUGAAAAGCUCAUAGUUGGACUUUGGGAUGGGCAGGCCGGUCUGCCUAGGGCGUGCACCAAUCGUCUCAUCCCUUCUGUUGGCGAUGCGCUCCUAGCCUUAGAGUGCUCAAAGCAAUCCUACACUCAGUAUACAUUAGCAUGGGAUAACAUUAUAGUAUUUCGAUCAUAUUAUGCUGGCCUUUAGGAUUGGAGUAAUGAUUAAUAGGGACAGUCGGGGGCAUUCAUAUUUCAUAGUCAGAGGUGAAAUUAUUAGAUUUAUGAACGAUGAAUAAUUACGAAAGCAUUUGCCAAGGCUAUUUUCAUUGAUCAAGAAUGAAAGUUGGGGGCUCAAAGAUGAUCAGAUAACAUCCUAGUCUCAACCAUAAACGAUGUUGACCAUGGAUCAGCGGAAGUUGAUUUUAGGACUCCGCCAGCACCUUAUGAGAAAUCAAAGUUUUUGAGUUCCUGGGGGAGUAUGGUCGCAAGGCUAACACUUAAAGAAAUUGAUGGAAGGGCACCACCAGGAGUGGAUCCUGCGGCUUAAUUUGACUCAACAUAGGGAAACUUACCAGGUCCAGACAUAGUAAGGAUUGAUAGACUAAGAACUCUUUAUUGAUUCUAUGGGUGGUGGUGCAUGGCCGUUAUUAGUUGGUAGAGAGAUUUGUCUGGUUAAUUCUAUUAACGAAUGAGACCUCAGCCUUCUAACUAGCUAUGCGGAGGUAUCCCUUCAUGGAAAGAUUCUUAGAGGGACUACGGCCUUUUAGGCUGCAAAAUUUUGAGGCAAUAACAAGUCUUUGAUGCCCUUAGAUGUUCUGGGCCGUGCGCGCACUACAUUGAUGUAUUUAAUGAGUUUAUAGCCUUAACUAACAGGCCCAGGUAAUCUUUGAAAAUUUAUCGUGAUGGGGAUAGAUCAUUGUAUUUCUUGGUAUUCAAUGAGGAAUUCCUAGUAAGUGCGAGUCAUUAGUUCGUUUUGACUACGUCUCUGCCCUUUAUACACAGUGAAAUUUUUGGAUUGUGGCAAUGUGGGAGGUUCACUACCCGCGAUGGUGUGAGAAGUCCAUUGAACCUUAGUAUUUAGAGAAAGGAGAAGUCGUAACAAGGUUUCUAUAGGUGAACCUAUGGAAG
rnacentral:rRNA from 1 species